GAUGAACGCUAGCUACAGGCUUAACACAUGCAAGUCGAGGGGCAUCAGGAAGGAAGCUUGCUUCCUUUGCUGGCGACCGGCGCACGGGUGAGUAACGCGUAUCCAACCUUCCCCUGAGUAGGGAAUAGCCCGGCGAAAGUCGGAUUAAUGCCCUAUGGUGUUCCGCGAUGGCAUCUGAUCGGAACUAAAGAUUUAUCGCUCUGGAUGGGGAUGCGUCUGAUUAGGUAGUAGGCGGGGUAACGGCCCACCUAGCCUGCGAUCAGUAGGGGUUCUGAGAGGAAGGUCCCCCACAUUGGAACUGAGACACGGUCCAAACUCCUACGGGAGGCAGCAGUGAGGAAUAUUGGUCAAUGGGCGAGAGCCUGAACCAGCCAAGUAGCGUGCAGGAUGACGGCCCUAUGGGUUGUAAACUGCUUUUGUCGGGGAAUAAAGUUACGUACGUGUACGUUUUUGUAUGUACCCGAAGAAUAAGGACCGGCUAAUUCCGUGCCAGCAGCCGCCGUAACAC
rnacentral:rRNA from 1 species